AUACUAAUUAAUCCUACACUAGGAUCUAAAUAUGAUACAACAGCAUGCAUUUAAAUUUGAAAUUCAAAUUUGAAACAGUAAAUUUUUUACUGUACUGUGUUCAGAACACAUCACCUUUUACGGAUAGUCGAUCAUCGUAAUCUGAUCACCGUCGAGAGGCUCUGAUCAUCACAUCAUAGCCACACUAGUGUCUGGCCUCUGCGGAUCGUCCACACG
rnacentral:lncRNA from 1 species